rnacentral:rRNA from 1 species
UACGGAGGGUGCAAGCGUUGUCCGGAAUUAUUGGGCGUAAAGAGCUUGUAGGCGGUUUGUCGCGUCUGCUGUGAAAUUUCGGGGCUCAACCCCGAACUUGCAGUGGGUACGGGCAGGCUAGAGUUCGGUAGGGGAGACUGGAAUUCCUGGUGUAGCGGUGAAAUGCGCAGAUAUCAGGAGGAACACCGGUGGCGAAGGCGGGUCUCUGGGCCGAUACUGACGCUGGGGAGCGAAAGCGUGGGGAGCGAACAGG